AUUAAGACAUCGCCGCGAUUAGCCGCCUUGCCUCGGGC
rnacentral:misc_RNA from 1 species